CCUACGGGAGGCAGCAGUGGGGAAUAUUGCGCAAUGGGCGAAAGCCUGACGCAGCGACGCCGCGUGAGGGAUGACGGCCUUCGGGUUGUAAACCUCUUUCAGCAGGGACGAAGCGAAAGUGACGGUACCCGCAGAAGAAGCCCCGGCUAACUACGUGCCAGCAGCCGCGGUAAUACGUAGGGCGCAAGCGUUGUCCGGAAUUAUU
rnacentral:rRNA from 1 species